rnacentral:rRNA from 1 species
UGCAUGUCUCNGUACNAGCNNAAUUAAGGUGAAACCGCAAAAGGCUCAUUAAAUCANNNNNNNNNCCUUAGAUCGUACCCACAAUUACUUGGAUAACUGUGGNNNUUCUAGAGCUAAUACAUGCAAAGAGAGCUCCGACCGGAGACGGAAGGAGUGCUUUUAUUAGAUCAAAACCAAUCGGCGGCGGGUUUCGGCUCGUCGUCGUCCAUUUUGGUGACUCUGAAUAACUUUAAGCUGAUCGCACGGUCUUGCACCGGCGACGCAUCUUUCAAAUGUCUGACUUAUCAACUGUCGAUGGUAGGUUCUGCGCCUACCAUGGUCGUAACGGGUAACGGGGAAUCAGGGUUCGAUUCCGGAGAGGGAGCCUGAGAAACGGCUACCACAUCCAAGGAAGGCAGCAGGCGCGCAAAUUACCCACUCCCGGCACGGGGAGGUAGUGACGAAAAAUAACGAUACGGGACUCAUCCGAGGCCCCGUAAUCGGAAUGAGUACACUCUAAACCCUUUAACGAGGAUCAAUUGGAGGGCAAGUCUGGUGCCAGCAGCCGCGGUAAUUCCAGCUCCAAUAGCGUAUAUUAAAGUUGUUGCGGUUAAAAAGCUCGUAGUCGAAUUUGUGUCUCGUGCCGCCGGUUCAUCGUCCGCGGUGUUAACUGGCGAGUCACGAGACGUCCUGCCGGUGGGCUUAGCUCCCUCGUUGUCGGUUCACUGUUAUGUGUGUGUUUCUCGCUCUGCGCUGCUCAUGUGGUGUUUGAGCUGGCGCACAUGUGCGGUGUUUCUUGGCAGCGUUUGUGGUUGCGGUCCAACUUUCAAUCCUGCCGCGGUGCUCUUUGCUGAGUGUCGAGGUGGGCCGGCACGUUUACUUUGAACAAAUUAGAGUGCUUAAAGCAGGCUAAAAUUUCGCCUGAAUACUGUGUGCAUGGAAUAAUAGAAUAGGACCUCGGUUCUAUUUUGUUGGUUUUCGGAACCCCGAGGUAAUGAUUAAUAGGAACGGAUGGGGGCAUUCGUAUUGCGGUUAGAGGUGAAAUUCUUGGAUCGUCGCAAGACGGACAGAAGCGAAAGCAUUUNCCAAAAACGCUUUCAUUGAUCAAGAACGAAAGUCAGAGGUUCGAAGGCGAUCAGAUACCGCCCUAGUUCUGACCUUAAACUAUGCCAACUAGCGAUCCGUCGACGUUCCUCCGAUGACUCGACGGGCAGCUUUCGGGAAACCAAAGUUUUUGGGUUCCGGGGGAAGUAUGGUUGCAAAGCUGAAACUUAAAGGAAUUGACGGAAGGGCACCACCAGGAGUGGAGCCUGCGGCUUAAUUUGACUCAACACGGGAAACCUCACCAGGCCCGGACACCGGAAGGAUUGACAGAUUGAGAGCUCUUUCUUGAUUCGGUGGGUGGUGGUGCAUGGCCGUUCUUAGUUGGUGGAGCGAUUUGUCUGGUUAAUUCCGAUAACGAACGAGACUCUAGCCUGCUAAAUAGGCGUAUUUUGACAUCGCAAAGGCCCGCCGGCUAGUGUUUGGAUAUGUGUGUUGGGGGGUGUGGUGGUUUUAAUCGCCGCUCUCUUCUCGCGCUGUCUAUUCGCUUGACGUGCGUGGUUUUUACUGUCAGCGUACAAACAAUUCUUCUUAGAGGGACAGGCGGCUUCUAGCCGCACGAGAUUGAGCAAUAACAGGUCUGUGAUGCCCUUAGAUGUUCUGGGCCGCACGCGCGCUACACUGAAGGAAUCAGCGUGUUUUCCUAGACCGAACGGUCGGGGUAACCCGCUGAACCUCCUUCGUGCUAGGGAUUGGGGCUUGCAAUUGUUCCCCAUGAACGAGGAAUUCCCAGUAAGCGCGAGUCAUAAGCUCGCGUUGAUUACGUCCCUGCCCUUUGUACACACCNCCCGUCGCUACUACCGANUNAANGAUUUAGUGAGGUCUUCGGAUCGUUUCGCNACNGCNUCUAGGCGUUGUCGAUGUAUUUGAGAAGAUGACCAAACUUGAUCAUU